GAAAAGAAAGUUUUUUUUUAGCUUGAUCACAAAUUUAUAAUCCCUAGUAAAAUAUUUAUAAAAGGUAAAGUACAAGUCAAGGAUCUAACGUGAAAUUGAGCACAUAUUAGUAAACAUUUUACCUGCUUGCAAUAAAACUCAAAAUAAUGGAGGAAUAUAUGAAAUUGGUCGCCCAAUACAAAUGCGAUAUAAACUCAAACGUUGAUGAAAGCAGCUCCGAAAGCGACAGCGACUCGUACGUAUCAAUGGGACAAACGGAGCGCCGAGCUUCGGUUCGAGAAACAAAAGAAGUCAAUGCGGAGAGCGGAAAGCGCAAGUCUGGAACGGCGCGGCUGCCAACUAGGCGACCAGAUCCCAACGUAUACAACAGAAAUGCAUUGCUCGCUCGUGAGAAUCGCCGUAAGAAGAAGGCGCACAUGGAGGCAGUCGAGAAGGAGUUGAAUGAAACGCGAAUGACAAACCGAUCGUUGCUGAAAGCGCUCAAAAAACAACUGAAGCGCACUCAGAAGCUUGAAAGAGAGUGCCAAUUCCUGAAGGAUACACUGGGUAACUACAAAGAAAACAAAAAUGUAGCCACUCAAUUAAAUAUGGGUAUUUCAUCACCGAACAACCGAGCCGCCUCGCCGGAGGGCUCCCUGAUAUCUGCAUAUUCGAGCAGCAGCAGCUACGAGCCGCCCAUGGAGACAGACUCUUACGCAGGCUUCCUGAACGUCGACAAUGAUUAUCAGCCCACGCCAGCCUACGAAGAUGAGAGCUCCACCCGAUUCGUGGAGCAGAGCAGCUUUGACCUGCAGCAGAGCCAGCCACUGGCCAUCAUUGACGAACAUAGCUAUUUCAAUAAGUUUGCGGAAGUGGGCCUUUACACCCCGGACUGUGAGUGGAGUCCCAGUCGCACUCCGCCCACGCAGCUGCUGCAAGACGACGAAUUCUUGUUCAGCAACGCAGACACAGACAUCGAAUGUAUUGCAAGUCUAUAAGUUAUAGUUUAAUGUGUUUUUUUAUUUACUAUUCUAAGAAGUUUUAACCAUAAUUAGAUUAAGGUAUUCGAGCGCGAUCUUUUUGUGAAUCGAUAUAAUUCUUUCCACAUUGACAGUCUUAAAACUUUAUUAGCAUAGCCCGUGGAGAUUAUGAUAGAACGACAGCCCACUGCAGCAGCCCUUUGGCUUCGACGUUUCAAAUUUGUUUCACAUUUUCAGGCGAGUGUGGAGGCGAGUUGGAUAAUUCAUCCAGCGCGCAAAUGAUUCAUUUGAAGUUGCGGCCAGAAUUUAGGACGAAACUCGAAAUCUAACGGAUUUCCACAAAAUAUUUUCCUUCACGGCUGAGCCCUAACGGAAGGAGAAGAGUUGCAGACGUCAACUGUAUUAAAUACAAGCAGGCGUUGUUUUCUAUUUAUUGUUUUUAUCGAAUUUCAAUAGUAACAAAAUUAUACUAAUUUAUUUGGAUUCUGAAAUGUUUCAGAUGUUUGUUAUCACACAGUCAAUGUGAGAUUUCAUUGAUUUUAGUGGACAGUGAGGCUUGGAACACCGGUACGUACUUCUAUCAUAACUCCUUAAAGGCAUAUGUUUGUAUGUAUACCUUCAAUUAUUAUUUGUUGAUUUUGGAAAGAAUUAUCGAUACGAUUUCAUCAUUAUUAUGCAUUUGUUAUUGAGCCCAAAUAAAGCUAUGACUACACAAUAUUU
rnacentral:misc_RNA from 1 species